rnacentral:rRNA from 1 species
UACGGAGGGAGCUAGCGUUGUUCGGAAUUACUGGGCGUAAAGCGCACGUAGGCGGCUUUGUAAGUUAGAGGUGAAAGCCUGGAGCUCAACUCCAGAAUUGCCUUUAAGACUGCAUCGCUUGAAUCCAGGAGAGGUGAGUGGAAUUCCGAGUGUAGAGGUGAAAUUCGUAGAUAUUCGGAAGAACACCAGUGGCGAAGGCGGCUCACUGGACUGGUAUUGACGCUGAGGUGGCGAAAAGCGUG